UUAGUGUACUUGUGCACUAUGCAUCGCGCCUGUUCUCUCAUCGUAAUCGUCACCUUCCAGGGGCUGUCGCUCGUGGAAUCUCAACAAAGCAACGAGGUAUUCGAUAGCUUCAAGGGCUUCGAAAAGUUUCCAUUUGCUGUUGCAAUCACUGACUCCGACAACGACACAAUCUUUGAAUGUGUGACAGCAAAAAGAGCAUGGUUUGAUAUGGAUGCCAAGAAGGGAGAAUAUGUUUGGCUGCUGAGGGGUCACAAAGGAACUCCAAA